rnacentral:rRNA from 1 species
AUACGGAGGAUCCGAGAGUUAUCCGGAUUUAUUGGGUUUAAAGGGUGCGCAGGCGGCCAUUUAAGUCAGCGGUUAAAUCGUGGGGCUCAACCCCAUUCUGCCGUUGAUACUGGGUGGCUUGAUUGCGGUCGAGGUUGGCGGAAUUCGUUGUGGAGCGGUGAAAUGCAUAGAUAUGACGAAGAACACCGAUUGCGUAGGCAGCUGACCAGAUCGCAAAUGACGCUCAUGCACGAAAGUGCGGGGAUCGAACAGGAUUGGAUACCCUGGUAGUCCGCACAGUAAACGAUGAAUACUUGUUUUCGGCGAUAUAAUGUCGGAGGCAAAGCGAAAGCGAUAAGUAUUCCACCUGGGGAGUACGCCGGCAACGGUGAAACUCAAAUGAAUUGACGGGG